rnacentral:rRNA from 1 species
UCGCACUUUAACAAUUGAAUAUGGGAUGCCUUGGCAUCAAGGGCCGAAGAAGGGCGUGGCAAGGCUGCGAUAAGCCCCGGUGAGCUGUCUAGCAAGCCUAGCCGGGGAUUCCCGAAUGGGGCAACCCGCCCAGGUAAAACCUGGGCACCCCCAGCUGAACACAUAGGCUGGGAGGAGGUAAGCAGGGGAAGUGAAACAUCUCAGUACCCUGAGGAAAGGAAAUUAUUCCCUGAGUAGUGGCGAACGAAAGGGGAAAAGCCCAAACCCGCUAAGUGGGACUAGGCCCUAUGUUUACGGGAGGUUGUAAGGCAGGUUAGACCGAACCUGGAAUAGGUCAAGGAGUUACCAACCGAACCCUAGUUGAAGGACCCUGGAAAGGGCCACCACAGACGGUGAGAGUCCGGUAAACGAAAGGGGUAGGCUCCUUAUCUGUCCUUGAGUACCACGGGACACGAGAAAUCUUGUGGGAAACCGCCCUGACCACAGGGCAAGGCUAAAUACCCUUGAUGACCGAUAGUGAACGAGUACCGUGAGGGAAAGGUGAAAAGUACCCCUGAAGGGGAGUGAAAUAGAACCUGAAACCGUAUGCCUACAAGCAGUCAGAGCUCGUCUUAGGACGGGUGAUGGCGUGCCUAUCGAAGAAUGAGCCGGUGAGUUGAUCUAUGUGGCAGGUUAAGCAAUUUGCGUUGCGGAGCCGAAGCGAAAGCGAGUCUGAAUAGGGCGGAUAGGUCGCAUGGAUCAGACCCGAAGCCGGGUGAGCUACCCAUGGCCAGGGUGAAGCUUCGAUAAGAUCGAAGUGGAGGCCCGAACCGGUCAACGUUGCAAAGUUGUCGGAGGAGCUGUGGGUAGAGGUGAAAUGCCAACCGAACCCGGAGAUAGCUGGUUCUCCCCGAAAUGCAUUUAGGUGCAGCCUCAGGUGAUAGUUGAUGGAGGUAAGGCUCUGGAUGGACUAGGUGGGAGAAUAUCCCGUCAACUCCAACCAAACCGCGAAUGCCAUCAACCCAGAACCUGGGAGUGAGACUGUGAAGGAUAAGCUCCAUAGUCGAGAGGGAAACAGCCCAGACCAUCAGCUAAGGUCCCCAAGAGCAGACUAAGUGGGCAAGGAAGUAAGAUUGCCCAGACAGCCAGGAGGUUGGCUUAGAAGCAGCCAUCCUUUAAAGAAAGCGUAAUAGCUCACUGGUUUAGUGGUUUUGCGCCGACAAUUUAACGGGGCUAAAGUCUGCCACCGAAGCUAUGGCUCUCCGAUUUUAUCGGGGAGGGUAGGGGAGCGUCCCCUUGGCAGUGAAGCUGCUAUGUGAAUAGUGGUGGAGCUAAGGGAAGUGAGAAUGCCGGCAUGAGUAGCGUAAGGCGUGUGAGAAACACGCCCACCGAAAACCUGAGGUUUCCUACGGAAGGUUAAUCCGCGUAGGGUUAGUCGGGCCUAAGCAUGGACAACGGGUUAUUAUUCCCGUACCGCUCCUAUGGAGGCAAAGGAGGGACGCGGAAGGGUAAGCCGAGCGUACCUAAUGGACAUGGUGCGUCUCCUGCUAUAGGUGAUGCCGGGGCAGGUAAAUCCACUCCGGAUAUUUAGCUGAAGGCAGGGGGAAGUUGAGGGGAAACCCAAGACGACUCAGCCAAUCCCAGGCCGCCAAGAAAAGCUUCGUUGCUGUUGAAGUAAGAGCGCCCGUACCGCAAACCGACUCUGGUAGGUGGGGAUAAAUGUCCCGAGGUGAUCGAGAGAACCCUCGUUAAGGAACUCGGCAAUCUAACCCCGUAACUUAGGGAGAAGGGGUGCCCGAUUUAUUCGGGUGGCACAAAAUUGGCCCAAGCGACUGUUUAACAAAAACAUAGGUCUCUGCCAAAGCGUAAGCUGAAGUAUAGGGGCUGAUACCUGCCCAGUGCUGGAAGGUUAAGGAGAGUU